AGAGUUUGAUCCUGGCUCAGAACGAACGCUGGCGGCAUGCCUAACACAUGCAAGUCGAACGAAGUCUUCGGACUUAGUGGCGCACGGGUGCGUAACGCGUGGGAAUCUGCCCUUGGGUACGGAAUAACUCAGAGAAAUUUGUGCUAAUACCGUAUAAUGUCUUCGGACCAAAGAUUUAUCGCCCAAGGAUGAGCCCGCGUAAGAUUAGCUAGUUGGUGGGGUAAAGGCCUACCAAGGCGACGAUCUUUAGCUGGUCUGAGAGGAUGAUCAGCCACACUGGGACUGAGACACGGCCCAGACUCCUACGGGAGGCAGCAGUGGGGAAUAUUGGACAAUGGGCGAAAGCCUGAUCCAGCAAUGCCGCGUGAGUGAUGAAGGCCUUAGGGUUGUAAAGCUCUUUUACCAGGGAUGAUAAUGACAGUACCUGGAGAAUAAGCUCCGGCUAACUCCGUG
rnacentral:rRNA from 1 species